rnacentral:rRNA from 1 species
AGGACGAACGCUGGCGGCGUGCCUAACACAUGUAAGUCGAACGCGCUCCAUUCGGUAGCAAUACUGAUGAAGAGUGAGUGGCGAACGGGUGAGUAACACAUGAGCAACCUGCCCCGAAGACUGGGACAACACCGGGAAACCGGUGCUAAUACCGGAUAUCCCUAUCGGACCGCAUGAUCUGAUAAGGAAAUGGAUUCCGCUUCGGGAGGGGCUCGUGGCCUAUCAGCUAGUUGGUGAGGUAACGGCUCACCAAGGCAUCGACGGGUAGCUGGUCUGAGAGGACGAUCAGCCACACUGGGACUGAGACACGGCCCAGACUCCUACGGGAGGCAGCAGUGGGGAAUCUUGCGCAAUGGGCGAAAGCCUGACGCAGCAACGCCGCGUGGAGGACGAAGGCUUUCUGAGUUGUAAACUCCUUUCAGCAGGGACGAUAGUGACGGUACCUGCAGAAGAGCACCGGCAACUACGCGCCAGCAG